ACAUUGCUCUCAACUUUUAGAGUGAGAGAGAGAUAGAGAGUUGAACAAAUUCUUCAUAGCAACUAGAGGAAGGAUCCAAAGGG
rnacentral:precursor_RNA from 1 species